AGUGUAACAACUCUUCUCCUUC
rnacentral:miRNA from 1 species